UACGUAGGGUGCGAGCGUUGUCCGGAAUUAUUGGGCGUAAAGAGCUUGUAGGCGGUUUGUCGCGUCUGCCGUGAAAGUCCGGGGCUCAACUCCGGAUCUGCGGUGGGUACGGGCAGACUAGAGUGAUGUAGGGGGAGACUGGAAUUCCUGGUGUAGCGGUGAAAUGCGCAGAUAUCAGGAGGAACACCAGUGGCGAAGGCGGCUCUCUGGGCCCUACCUGACGCUGAGACGCGAAAGCGUGGGGAGCGAACCGG
rnacentral:rRNA from 1 species